AGCGGUAUAGCUCAGUGGUAGAGUAUGCACUUACCAUGCACAAGGUCAUGGGUUCAAUUCCCAGUACUGCCA
rnacentral:tRNA from 1 species